AAAUCAGAAAAAGUUGCUUUUGCAGCUCAGUUCACUGGACAUUUUCAAAGGAAUCGUCAAAACUAACCAUGAGGAGGGAGACUGCUGUUGUGCCAGUCCACCCUGACAUUAGUGAUGAUGAUGAGGAUCAAGAUGAUGAUGUGUCAGACCCCGACUUCUCCCCACCCACCAACAACCUGGACAUUCCCAGACCCUCACACACAGUUGUGUGAGGGUCUAUUCAACACUUUUGUUAUUAGCACUUUUUUUAUUAGCACGUUUAUGUUCUAAAAGUGAUGUUCAAAUGUUCAAAUACAUAAUAUGUGUUUUUCUUAUAUUUAUAUAUAUAUAUGUAUACUUAUUGGAAUUUGUUUUCCCACUCACGGGCAAGUGACCAAAUAUGGUAACUUCAUUGGCAUUGAUUUUCUACAUGAAAAUAAAAAAAAUUGAAAAAUGUCACCAAU